GAUAAGCCUGGGAAACUGGGUCUAAUACCGAAUAUGACCACGCUCUUCAUGGGGUGUGGUGGAAAGCUUUUGCGGUGUGGGAUGGGCCCGCGGCCUAUCAGCUUGUUGGUGGGGUAAUGGCCUACCAAGGCGACGACGGGUAGCCGGCCUGAGAGGGUGACCGGCCACACUGGGACUGAGAUACGGCCCAGACUCCUACGGGAGGCAGCAGUGGGGAAUAUUGCACAAUGGGCGCAAGCCUGAUGCAGCGACGCCGCGUGAGGGAUGACGGCCUUCGGGUUGUAAACCUCUUUCACCAGGGACGAAGCGCAAGUGACGGUACCUGGAGAAGAAGCACCGGCCAACUACGUGCCAGCAGCCGCGGUAAUACGUAGGGUGCGAGCGUUGUCCGGAAUUACUGGGCGUAAAGAGCUCGUAGGUGGUUUGUCGCGUUGUUCGUGAAAACUCACAGCUUAACUGUGGGCGUGCGGGCGAUACGGGCAGACUAGAGUACUGCAGGGGAGACUGGAAUUCCUGGUGUAGCGGUGGAAUGCGCAGAUAUCAGGAGGAACACCGGUGGCGAAGGCGGGUCUGCUGGGCAGUAACUGACGCUUA
rnacentral:rRNA from 1 species